CAUUGUGGCGUUCGUGUGCAGCCUUGUUCAUUGUGGCCAUUUGCUAAAUUUUCGUGCCCAGAGCGAGUCGCUGCGUGUGAAGAGCCAGUGGCAUCGAUGUUUCCACAGCGAGUCACUGAUCAGCGCGCUGCUGUUGGCAGGUUUAGUUGAGGUUAGGGUGGUCUGUCGAGGAGCUCCCGCCCCCUGCGACUUGUCCACCGGUCUGCGGGGGAGUUGAGCCUGGUUGUAAACCUCCACACGGUGCGGUUCUCAGAGUAAUGGCUGUCUACAAGAAGACGCUGCAGACCAUCGCAGUCAUUUGAUCAGAGCGGAGGGAAGCCAAAGGCCUCAGUAUCUUGAGGAUCACAACACAAAAAGGCACAGUGUGACUGUUCCCUAUGAGCCGCCCCAGCCGGGCUCAGAGAUCACCACAAUCCUGUUCAACUUCAUGUGCAACAGCUCCUGCAUGGGAGGCAUGAACCGCAGACCCAUCCUCACCAUCCUGACCCUUGAGACUUCAGAGUACGUAUGGUUUCAUCUACCAGGAUUGGUGUGAGCUGAAAUGUAUUUGCUGGCUGUCUACAAGAAGACGCUGCAGACCAUCGCAGUCAUUUGAUCAGAGCGGAGGGCAGCCAAAGGCCUCAGUAUCUUGAGGAUCACAACACAAAAAGGCACAGUGUGACUGUUCCCUAUGAGCCGCCCCAGCCGGGCUCAGAGAUCACCACAAUCCUGUUCAACUUCAUGUGCAACAGCUCCUGCAUGGGAGGCAUGAACCGCAGACCCAUCCUCACCAUCCUGACCCUUGAGACUUCAGACGGACAACUUUUGGGCCGAAGAUGCUUCGAGGUGCGUGUCUGCGCGUGUCCCGGCAGGGAUCGUAAAACAGAGGAGGCAAAUAGUACCAAACUUCAGACAGGGGCCAAACAAGUGAAGAAAAGAAAAAGUGCCCCAGCAACAGAUCCUGAUAUGUGCAAAAGGAAGUCUGGCUCAAGCACAGACGAGGAGUUAAAGGCCGUGAGCGCUAUAACAUGUUAAAAAAGAUAAAUGAUGCAUUAGAACUGGCUGAAAAAGAGGCUAAAAACAAACCAGGGCUUCUAAGGAACUGCUGCCGUCCAGUGGAAAGCGCGUCUUGCAAAAAGCAGAACGAAGCGACAGCGACUAGUUGCAAUCUGCCUUCUUUUAACCGCCAUGUACGAGUUAUGUUCAGUGUUGCUUCCUGGCCAACAUCCCUCAGCAGGAGGCUGCACGAUCAUCGAGUUCAGAUGAACUGCGCGACCCCAGCCCCCUGUACCUCCACGUCCCUCGUCCUGCCGGGGUCCGGCGCGACCCCAGCCCACUGUACCUCCCCGUCCCGCAUCCUCCCGGGGUCAGGCGCUACCCCAGCCCCCUGUACCUCCCCGUCAGGCGUCUUGCCGGGGUCCGGCGCGACCCCAUUUUUUUUGUUUUUUAUUUUUCCUUCUCCUUUCCUCCCCUUUACCUCCACCCGUGCCACAGGCCCACUGAUGAUGAACAUGAUGAUGAUGACGAACAUGAUGAUGAUGAUGAUGAUGAUGAUGAUGAUGAUGAUGAUGAUGAUGAUGAUGAUGAUGCAAGCAGACAGCUGCGUGCAAGGGCUGACCAUUUUAAACGAAAAAUAAAACAGACCAAACAGGCAAAAA